rnacentral:rRNA from 1 species
AGGACGAACGCUGGCGGCGUGCUUAACACAUGCAAGUCGAGCGGAAAGGCCUUUCGGGGUACUCGAGCGGCGAACGGGUGAGUAACACGUGAGCAAUCUGCCCUUCACUUCGGGAUAAGCCUCGGAAACGGGGUCUAAUACCGGAUAUGACUGCGCCAUGCAUGUGGUGUGGUGGAAAGUUCCGGCGGUGAGGGAUGAGCUCGCGGCCUAUCAGCUUGUUGGUGGGUAAUGGCCUACCAAGGCUUCGACGGGUAGCCGGCCUGAGAGGGUGACCGGCCACACGUGGGACUGAGACACGGCCCAGACCUCCGUACGGGAGGCAGCGAGUGGGGAAUAGUUGGACAAGUGGGACGAAAGCCUGACUCCGAGCCAACGCCGCGGUGGAGGAGUCGGACGGUCCGUUCGGGUUACGUAAACCUUCGUUUAC